rnacentral:rRNA from 1 species
UACAGAGGUCCCAAGCGUUGUUCGGAUUCACUGGGCGUAAAGGGUGCGUAGGUGGUCGGGUAAGUCUGAUGUGAAAUCUCCGAGCUUAACUCGGAAAUGGCAUUGGAUACUAUUCGGCUGGAGGGUUGGAGGGGGGACUGGAAUUUACGGUGUAGCGGUGAAAUGCGUAGAUAUCGUAAGGAAGACCAGUGGCGAAGGCGGGUCUCUGGACAGUUCCUGACGCUGAGGCACGAAGGUCAGGGGAGCAAACGGG